CCUACGGGUGACAGCAGUCGAGAAUCAUUCACAAUGGGGGAAACCCUGAUGGUGCGACGCCGCGUGGGGGAAUGAAGGUCUUCGGAUUGUAAACCCCUGUCAUGUGGGAGCAAAUUAAAAAGAUAGUACCACAAUAGGAAGAGACGGCUAACUCUGUGCCAGCAGCCGCGGUACUACAGAGGUCGCAAGCGUUGUUCGGAAUCACUGGGCGUAAAGCGUGCGGAGGCUGUGUCGUAAGUCGUGUGUGAAAGGCGCGGGCUCAACCCGCGGACGGCACAUGAUACUGCGAGACUAGAGUAAUGGAGGGGGAACCGGAAUGCUCGGUGUAGCAGUGAAAUGCGUAGAUAUCGAGAGGAACACUCGUGGCGAAGGCGGGUUCCUGGACAUUAACUGACGCUGAGGCACGAAGGCCAGGGGAGCGAAAGGGAUUAGAUACCCCUGUAGUC
rnacentral:rRNA from 1 species